AGCGAACGCUGGCGGCAGGCCUAAAACAUGCAAGUCGAACGAACCCUUCGGGGUUAGUGGCGGACGGGUGAGUAACACGUGGGAACGUGCCCUUUGGUUCGGAACAACUCAGGGAAACUUGAGCUAAUACCGGAUGUGCCCUUCGGGGAAGAUUUAUCGCCAUUGGAGCGGCCCGCGUCUGAUUAGCUAGUUGGUGUGGUAACGGCGCACCAAGGCGACGAUCAGUAGCUGGUCUGAGAGGAUGAUCAGCCACAUUGGGACUGAGACACGGCCCAAACUCCUACGGGAGGCAGCAGGGGGGAAUAUUGGACAAUGGGCGCAAGCCUGAUCCAGCCAUGCCGCGUGAGUGAUGAAGGCCCUAGGGUUGUAAAGCUCUUUUACCCGGGAAGAUAAUGAC
rnacentral:rRNA from 1 species